AGCAGUAGCCGCGGGAAUACGUAGGGUGCAAGCGUUAAUCGGAAUUACUGGGCGUAAAGGGUGCGUAGGCGGUUUGGUAAGUCUUGUGUGAAAUCUUCGGGCUCAACUCGAAGUCUGCACGAGAAACUGCCGGGCUUGAGUGUGGGAGAGGUGAGUGGAAUUUCCGGUGUAGCGGUGAAAUGCGUAGAUAUCGGAAGGAACACCUGUGGCGAAAGCGGCUCACUGGACCAUAACUGACGCUGAUGCACGAAAGCUAGGGGAGCAAACAGAAUUAGAUACCCCAGUAGUCCCUGUCUCUUAUAC
rnacentral:rRNA from 1 species